rnacentral:rRNA from 1 species
GACGAACGCUGGCGGCGUGCUUAACACAUGCAAGUCGAACGGAAAGGCCCUGCUUUUGUGGGGUGCUCGAGUGGCGAACGGGUGAGUAACACGUGAGUAUCCUGCCCUUGACUUUGGGAUAACUUCACGAAACUGGGGCUAUUACCGGAUAGGAGCUCCUGCUGCAUGGUGGGGGUUGGAAAGUUUCGGCGGUUGGGGAUGGACUCGCGGCUUAUCCGCUUGUUGGUGGGGUAGUGGCUUACCAAGGCUUUGACGGGUAGCCGGCAUGAGAGGGUUACCGGCCACAAUGGUACUGAGAUACGGCCCAGACGCCUACGGGAGGCAGCAGGGGGGAAUAUGGCACAAUGGGCGGAAGCCUGAUGCAGCAACGCCGCGUGCGGGAUGACGGCCUUCGGGUUGUAAACCGCUUUCGCCUGUGACGAAGCGUGAGUGACGGUAAUGGGUAAAGAAGCACCGGCUAACUACGUG